rnacentral:rRNA from 1 species
GGGGCACUGAUUGCUUAUUGCACCACAUGUGUUUUUCUUUGAAACAAACUUGCUUUGGCGGUGGGCCCAGCCUGCCGCCAGAGGUCUAAACUUACAACCAAUUUUUUAUCAACUUGUCACACCAGAUUAUUACUUAAUAGUCAAAACUUUCAACAACGGAUCUCUUGGUUCUCGCAUCGAUGAAGAACGCAGCGAAAUGCGAUACGUAAUAUGAAUUGCAGAUAUUCGUGAAUCAUCGAAUCUUUGAACGCACAUUGCGCCCUCUGGUAUUCCGGAGGGCAUGCCUGUUUGAGCGUCGUUUCUCCCUCAAACCGCUGGGUUUGGUGUUGAGCAAUACGACUUGGGUUUGCUUGAAAGACGGUAGUGGUAAGGCGGGAUCGCUUUGACAAUGGCUUAGGUCUAACCAAAAACAUUGCUUGCGGCGGUAACGUCCACCACGUAUAUCUUCAAACUUUGACCUCAAAUCAGGUAGGACUACCCGCUGAACUUAAGCAUAUCAAUAAGCGGAGGAA